CUCCGCCGCGGGCUCUGCCCGCUCGCCUGCUCGCCUGGUGGGGGAGAGGGGAGCGGGGCCGACACAGGGUUCCUGACCAAGCUGGUGCUUCUGCGUGUGUUCCUGCAUGACUUGGUGUGUCCCCUUCUCUUGGAUCUACUGCAGUUGACAGCAGAUAACUGAAAGCUCGGAAAGCGAAACCGUGGAUAAGCAGGGGAACUGUGGCAUCCCAUUUAAAAUUGCUUCUGAAGAGAAGCAUGAGGUUACAUCUGUAAUCUCCCUGCAGCAGAGUCAACUGCAUAAGAAACCAAAAGACACACCUGCUCCAUGCCAGCUUCGAUAAUUUCUUUGUACCUUCGGCGAAAGAAGCCCAUCUGAAAGGCAGAAAGAAAGAGAAGCUGAGUUAGAAGUGCUGAAGAAUCAGCCAUUGUGACCCCAAGGCAGUCUGUCCCUGGCCUAAGCCACCACAUAAAAAGUCAGACCAUCUGCUGGAAGAACCACAUGGAGAGGCCCUGAGUCAACAUGGAGAGGAAGAAGGACUUGACUGAAUCCAGCCUUCCAGCUGUCCCUACCAAGGUGCCAGGCAUGAGAAUGAAGCUGUCUUGAACUCUGAAGACCAGCUUAGCCACCAGAUGCCAAACACUGAGCAGGCUUUGUUCUCCACCCACAAACCAGAGGCUGUCUCAGCAGGAAGGAGUUGGAGUUGGAGAAAAAGGAGAAUUAAGAAUCUAUCUGGCGAUGUGGAUUAAAUAAACAACAAAUUGGCAGAUUGUUUUUAAAAGUUUCUGUGGGCCUCAAACAACACUUUCUGCAUUUUCCCCUCUCGCCCCCUACUCAUCACUCCCUGAAAGGUAAAAGCUGCUGAAACACAUCAAGAGCCAAAGGAAUUCAGAUUGCUGAAAGGUCAUCACUUUGAUAUGAUAAAUAUUAAGAGCAUUCCCAAAGGCAAAAUUUCCAUUGUAGAAGCACUGACACUUCUUAACAAUCAUAAACUUUAUCCAGAAACAUGGACUGCUGAGAAAAUAGCGCAAGAAUACCAAUUAGAACAGAAAGAUGUGAAUUCCCUUCUUAAAUAUUUUGUUACUUUUGAAGUCAAAAUCUUCCCUCCUGAAGACAAGAAAGCAAUACAAUCAAAAUGAAGAAAAUCACAAAAAUUUCCUAUGUGUACUCCUCAUCCCUCAUCCUGACUAUUUUCUCAUUUUUGGCAUAUUAAAUUAUGUUAAUUACCAAAUGUUUAAUGCUCUCAUUGUGAGAGCAUAGUCUUUUUUUUUUUUUUUUUUUUUUUUUUGAGACGGAGUCUCACUCUGUCACCCAGGCUGGAGUGCAGUGGCGUGAUCUCAGCUCACUGCAAGCUCCGCCUUCUGGGUUCACGCCAUUCUCCUGUCUCAGCCUCCCGAGUAGCUGGGACUACAGGCGCCCGCCACCACACCCAGCUCAUUUUUUUUUUUUUUGGUAUUUUUUAGUAGAGACAGGGUUACACCACGUUAGCCAGGAUGGUCUCGAUCUCCUGACUUUGUGGUCCACCCGCCUUGGCCUCCCAAAGUGCUAGGAUUACAGGUGUGAGCCACCGCGCCUGGCUGAGCGCAUACUCUUAAUAUAUAUUGAGCUCCCUGACUUUUCAAGAUUGCCAUGGAAUAUAUUUUGUUUUCUUUUAAUUUGGUUUAGGCAUAUUUUAUAUGUACAUGUCAGCAUGUCUAAUCAGUACAUCUGCACCUUUAUUAUAAGUAGAAGAGUUAAUUUGCUAUUUUAGGCACAUCAUACCAACUCUUAAAUUGGUCAGAUGACCCCUUGGGAAAUGUCCUGAAUCCCUCAUUUAAGUUUUACUUUCCAAGUUAGGUGUUUAGUUCAUUCUUCAUAUGUGAUAGUGAAAGUAAAAGCUUUCCUGACUCGUAAGGCUGACAUUUUCUUGUUAGGGAAAGAGACUCGAUAGCAAGGUAAACUAACAGUAUUUCCCAAAUAAAGGCACACAGGAGAAAAUAAUGAAUCAAUAGAAUCUAAUUAAAAUUACUACCCCAGGGAAUAAGAAGUAUUGAGGAUUUAUUUUAUUUUGAAUUGGUUUUAAGUAUGGAAUAAUCAUCUUUACAGUUAUAAAAAAAUUAGUGUUUACAAAAUGUUGGGCAUUUCUGCUUUGACAAACAAACAGGUAAGUCCCGUGGCCUUCAGAGGCAGGCAGCAGUAGAAACUUUCCAAAAAGUAACAAUUUCUCUGGAUUUAACAUGGAAAUAGAAAAAUUUAAAGAAUAAUUAAAUUAAAAAACCAUGGUAAAUGAAAUGUGGUGAUGAUAUACAGUUUCGGAUGUUAAUGCUAGUUGAAAGAGAGAAAAAAUAUCAAGUAGAAGCAGAGGACAGGAUCAUUGGAAGGGACCUGAGAAAUUGCCGCUUCAUCCAUUUUAGCACACUUAUUAGCAUGGCAUGUACCAAUAUUAGGAAAUUGAGUGACAGUGUGUGAGUUUAGCUCUGCCUAAUAUAUUACUGCUUGUGGGAUCUUUGGGAGACUGUAUCCUCUUUGAGAUUGAAUUUCUUCUAUAAAAUGAGCAUAAUACUACCUUACUUAAAUUUAAGGGUCAUCAUGAAGAUAAAUGUACUACAUUUAUAAACAGUAAAGUACUACAAAGGACCAAGCAAAUACGAAUUAUUUUUUGCAGUGGAGAAACAAGCGCCCGGUGAGAAUAUAUGACCUAAGGUUCUGUAGUUUAUGACCUAACCAGGCCCAGAAUGAAGUUUUUCAUAUCCUAGUAGUGUGUUUUUUCUGUUUUGACAAAAAACAGCAUACCUCAGAGAAGGAAAAAAGUGUGAAUUGUGGGUAUAUUGGGGUUAUCAGUGUGCUUCUGAGGGAAGACAGGCAUCACUACUUCCCAGAGAUGCCCUGGAAAUGAUAUAGAAGAUGCUGAAGAAUUCAACGUGAUAACAGAAUGAGGCAUUUGUAGUAAUGCUGAGAACAGAAAAAUGGACUAAGUGGAAAAUUUGUUUGCAUGUCUUUGAAUGUAGAUUUGUUAUGUGAACAAACUACCUAGUUUAUUUUUAGUUCAAUACAAUAAUUGUUUUAAGAAAACAUGAAAUAACUACUCAAUAUAAAAUGCAUUUUAAAACUCCUAUUAAAAAAGAUCACAGGAAAAUUGCUUGAUUUCUCCAUCAGUUAAAUUUACCACCGUGCACACGUUAUGUGGUUAAAAAUCUGAUUGUUUUCCUCCCCCACUCGAUACCAAAUGCAAGUACAUUUCCUGUUCCUUCCAAGGCCAUAACAAUUUGGUGCCUAAUCUAAAAUCUUUGAAACUUUGCCUAAUUUAAAUUUGGUGGCGAGGCUCUAUGGAAAUUCCCCUUCAGACUGAUAGUUGACAGAAGGCCAGGCAUUCAGAAGAAUCACGCAGGGAAGAUCGUGUUUGUUCUAAAAAGGCAAACCUUCCUACUCAGAAAAGAUUUUUUUUUUCCUGCCAGGAAAAUUGAGAACAACAGAUUGUAGAACUUCAUUGUAGCUCAUGGACUGAAAAGGCAAAGUCAUGGAAAGGAGGGAGAAGGGGCAUUGUG
rnacentral:lncRNA from 1 species